rnacentral:ribozyme from 1 species
UUUUUUUUUCAUUUCUUUUUUUUUUUAUAAAAAAAAAAAGAAAUGAAAAAAAAACGUAACAGCUACUACUCGAAUUCGCACACGCGCA